rnacentral:rRNA from 1 species
UACGUAGGGUGCUAGCGUUGUUCGGAAUCACUGGGCGUGAAGCGCGCGUAGGCGGUUAUUCAAGUCAGGGGUGAAAUCCUAAGGCUCAACCUUAGAAUUGCCUUUGAAACUGUAUAACUGGAGUGUCGGGGGGGAUAGCGGAAUUGCUAAUGUAGCGGUGAAAUGCGUAGAUAUUAGCAGGAACACCGGUGGCGAAGGCGGCUAUCUGGACGACAACUGACGCUGAGGCGCGAAAGCGUGGGUAUCAAACAGG